UAAUCUGCGCAGGGUUAGUCGGCCCCUAAGGCGAGGCUGAAAAGCGUAGUCGAUGGGAAGCAGGUAAAUAUUCCUGCACCAGCUGGAAGUGACGGAUGGCAUAAGUCGUCGGGGCUUAUUGGAUUGUUCCCGGCGGUGGCGUUGUCCCUGGAAAUAACUCCAGCAGAGACCGUACCCGAAACCGACA
rnacentral:rRNA from 1 species